CAGACUAAUGAGUUUACAGAGCAGCCAUCAGUGAUGUUGAUCGCAUCAGAUGGAGUCUGCCCGUUGCCGACUUUAUCGCCUUCUGAAAUUCGAGCCGCUUCGCUCAAUUACGGCGCGGGCAGGCAGGCAUCGAAGCUCCGCACCUGCGACACACUCUGCCUCACGUCCACGUCGACCGUGCAGCCGCUCUGACCCCAGAGGAGGAUGACGGAGAGGCUAAAUGGCGCCGCGGAAGGGAGAGAGACAGGCCGGCGGAGCAAAUCUGGCAGGUUCAGCGACGUGGAGGGGAAACGGGACGAGGGCGACGACAGGAGGCAGAAAAGUACAGGAAGAGAAGCAGAAGGAGAGAAACUAAAGCAGGGGUGUCAUGCCGUCCCUGGCACGUGAGCCGGGGCCCAGAUGUCUGCGUUGGCUGUCGUCAGAAUCUAGGUCAUGCUGAGAGAGCGAGGGAGGGAAGCGAUCAGACGAAAGGAACGUCGAAGCAAAUGGAGAGUGAGAGAGGAGAAGCACAUGGCGGCCAGCACGAGUAAAAGGAAAAGGAUUUUUUAUCCAUUGGUGUUUGUGGACAAACCAUCGUCAUCGUCGCAUCUGACACAGAAACCAAACGUAAUGACGAAGGGAAAAACAGAAGGCAACAAACUUGGAAGCGCCUGUGCAAUAAAGCAAGACGGCAAAAGGGGAAGAGGGAUUUGAAUAGUAAAUAAUGAUGCAGGGCCAGAGAUAGACGGAGCAGAGAAGAAGGGUAAUUAAUGAAAGAGGGAGCGAGGGAACGAGGGGAAGACAAAGAUGGAGAAAAGCACAAAGACUAGAUAAAUGACUGUAAGCAGAGAGGAGGAGCUCAGCAUCAGCACACAAUGACUUCCUGCGAGUGCGCGAUCAUUGACUCCCCACAACAAUAAGCGCUCACAUCUGCAUGUGAAUAAUGAAUGUGGAAAUCCUUAAACAUCAUUAAAACUCAAACGCAGCA